rnacentral:misc_RNA from 1 species
GCUUAUUUGCAUAUAGAAGGUUGGAGUGAUCUCUUUCAACUGGAUUGAGUUGGCUUUUGUCGCUCUGCAAGUUGACCUUCAAGGAACUUCAAAACAGAUUCACGUCGCUGUUCAAGGCCAGAAUUCGCAGAAUUCAAUGUUAAUGAUUCCAACAACUUAAUGCCUUCCUGAAAUCUAUCGACGGCCAUAUCCUCAUUUCCUAGACCACUGUCUACAUCUGCCACUUUUGCAAGCGAAACAGCCACAUCUAGGAUCUGAGCUGGAUCAUCUGGAUGAUGCUUGCUUGCAUCUUGGCGAACAUUAAGAGACCGGAGAUAAUAAGACCUUGCAGCUUGGAGGUCUCCUUCAUAAUACUUUAGAUCGCCAAUUUUAUUUAGUGAUACAGAAAGUGUAUGAGUGAUCUCGUGAGUCUUUUCAGGCAGUUUUGAGAGAAACUCUACACUUUCCUCAAAGUGCUUGAUUGCGGAACUAGCAUCUCCAGCUGCUCGACAACAA